rnacentral:tRNA from 1 species
UCCCUGGUGGCUUAGAUGGGAAAGAACCUGCCUGCAAUGCAGGAGACCUGGAUUUGAUUUCUGGGUGGGGAG